GUCAGGUGCUUCUCCACCAGCUUCAGCCGUAAAUCACGACACUCGGCCAGCAGCUCCAUCAUCACGCUCUUAUCAAAGUCAUGCAGAUGGCAAAGCAGCACAGAGCACGCUGAAGUAGAAAAUCAGGGCAGAUCAACACUGAGGAACUGCCUCCUCUUCCUGUCGCCCCAUUCCCACGUCCUGCUUCAGUCCCAGCGUGACCUUUGACCUGCGGAGUUCUCUCUGUCCCUAAAAAGACACACACAUACACACACACACACACACACACACACACUGGAGCGGAGGAGUAUGGUGUGUGCUGGACACUGAGCAUGUCUUUUCUGGAAAAUUUGCUGUUAUUCUGACAUUUAUAAACCCUCACAGACACAAAUAUCUCUGGGGAUUCAGAGGUCUUAGAGAUUUAUACCAAACACCGUUUUUCCCGUCAUUUUCUACAUGCAAGUGAACAGUAACACACUGCUAGUAAAGAUUUUGAUCACCCAAAAUAUUUUUUUUAGUCUCAGUGGAGUGGAGAGGAACUUUGAAAUGUACAGUAUGUUACAAUGCACUCUUAUCUCAAAAGAUCAAAAGGAAAAUGUGCUGACAAAAAAAAAUCAUAACACGAUAUCAAUACUUGUAUCCUGUUCUGUAAAUAUGCAGUGAAGACAUUUAUGUAUUUGUGUCUGUGUGUCUGUGUCUGUGUGUGUGUCUAUG